GAGAGUUAAUUUUACACAGUUACUGCAGCUCGGCUUCUGAGAGUUUCCAUGGCGAUUAGUCUUUAUGAGGUCUGAUUGGGAGUCGGUCCAGUAAAGCUCACAGAAGCCGCCUGUAGUCUCCGCUCCCCCAGAUCUGUGAGGGACCCACAUCUGGAGGAAAAAAAGCCAGAUCGAGGCUGCGAGCUGAGACCCCCCCCAGACCCCCCCAGAACCCCCACCCCCCGCAUCACCCCCGGGAGGGAAGUCUACAGCCCUCGUUUCAGGAGUUAAAUAUAGAAACAGCCGCCGCUCCACAGCUAGCGAUUAGCAUUCCCCUGCAGCACCGUCAGCGGUCCUCAAACUGCUGGGUUUAUUGUGCAGUUUGUUUCCUGUGAAGUCCCUGCAGCUCAGUGCAGGUUUGUGCUGGGAGACUCGUGCUUUCUCCUGAGGUUGACUCUGCUUGUGUUGCUGUUGUGCUGCUGCAGCCACCUUGUUCAGGGUGCUCUCUUUUAAAGGCUGCAGAGACCCAGCUCUGCCCAGCUCAGAUGCAGGUUCUUGUAAGGUUACCUGGCGUCGCUGUGGGGCAGAAUUAGCUCAGCCUGUGCGUGAUUCCGUGUGUGGCCUCUGGAGGGCAGCAGAGGGCUCCAUUGAAUGGAAACGCCAGGGUCUGUGCUGCGCUCUCCAGGUGCACUGUUGCUGUCUCUCCAAAGUGUUUCCCGGUAGAUUCUACUCUCUGCCUGAUCCAGGAUCAGUUUAUCCAGCCCAAACCGCAUCUCCCGCCUUCAUGCGCGACCUCCCAGGCUGCCCUGGGACCAGCACUUGAGGUCAGGCUUGGUCAUGUGACACCCUCACUUCCGCAUCUAGUAACCUUCCCUCAACGUUGCCGCAGGGACGUUGCCGUGACGCCGCAGGGACGUUGCCGUGACGCCGCAGGGACGUUGCCGUGACGCCGCAGGGAUGUUGCCGUGACGCCGCAGGGACGUUGCCGUGACGCUGCAGGGACGUUGCCGUGACGCCCCAGGAACACGGUGUUUUCGCCAGGCGAAGCUGAGGGCAGCAGGCAGGCCCGCUCACGCCCACCUGGGCCUUUCCCAGAUUUGAUUUAUCACAGUUACACAAGAAUGAGACACAGAGACACCAAACAUGAAAUCUAAAUACAAAAGGAGGAAAAUGGGAAUAUGGCUGUGACGGUGGGGGGGAUUAGACUGGGGGCUGGGAAAGGGUUAACAUGAUGUAAUAGUGUUGCUAUGGAGCAUGGAGUAAAAGAUUUCACAAAAACACUGUCUUAAAAAAUGGGGAGGUAGAGAGAGAGAGAGAGAGUGGGGGAGAGAGAGAGAUUUAAAGAAGAAAGCCUGGAGCUGAAGCAGCUUCGGUGCUCCAUGGGGGGGGGGGGUUCGCUGAGCGGGCGGCGCCACCGUUCACGUGCUUCUGCUGAGUGUGUGUGUGUGUGUGUGUGUGAGUGUGUGAGUGUGUGUGUGUGUGCGUGCGUGCGUGCGUGCGUGCGUGCGUGCGUGCGUGCGUGCGUGCGUGCGUGCGUGUGCGUGCGCGUGUGCAUGCGUGCUUCUGCUGAGUGUGCGUGCGUGCGUGCGUGCGUGCGUGCGUGCGUGGGGUAUGGGGGGGUAUCACUCAAGCUGUGUGUUCCCGACCCCCUAAAUAUAAACGGGUGUCACUGCUGCCAUUUUGGGGGGGAAAAAAAAACACCUUAAACACUUUAUCCAAACUUUAAUUCUCAGUAGCAGCAACAGAACAAAAGUUAUUCAACACCCUUAAGUUUUGAACCUGAAUUUUAUUCAGUCCUGGAGUUAAACAUGACCUGGACCAUCCAAGAGACAAAAAUAUGCAUAUGGAUGUGUGUGCGUAUGUGUGUGUGUGUUUUUGUGAAUGUGACAUUAAGCUGUCAGAAUGUACUCCAAUUGUACUUUAAUUAAAUUAACAGAUAGAUGCCUUCUGGUGCUAUUUAUUAACAAUGAAAAGUUUUUGAAUCAUUAGGAACCUCAAUGAAUAUUUGUGACAUGCAUCAAAUAGACAAAAUGUGAAAAUACACUGAAAUGGGGUGGGGGGGGUGCAGGCUUCCAAACUAUUCCACACGAACACAAACCACCCAGAGCUGAGAGAGAUGUCCCAGCGAAGCAGGCAGGAGUCUCUAAUCACUCCUUCAGAUUUCAGCCCAAAACCAUGAGCUACUCCUGCAGGAAUGAGCCCAUCUCCACAGCCCGCAUUCACCCCCUCUACACACACUCUUAUACGAGUGAGUUACAGGAAACAGCCUAUAGCGGGGUUACACACAUCGUGGACACACAUUUUAUGCAGUCCCACUGCAGUUAGCUCUCUGCCCAGCCGCACUGAUAGAGCUAAGUAGCGCCACAGGGCUAGCUGAAUCUCAACACGUUCUUUAUCUCCUGGAGGGACGAGAGUCUGCGUUCAUCUGGUUUAUUUUGACAGGGAUAAAUGUUUGUGUUUAUUGCAAAAGUAACAUUGCAUUUGACAUUUUAACCAGGUCCGUCCCAGGUGCGUCCCAGGUGCGUCCCAGGUGUGUCCCAGGUGUGUCCCAGGUCCGUCCCAGGUGCGUCCCAGGUGCGUCCCAGGUCUGUCCCAGGUCUGUCCCAGAGUCGGGCGAGCUGAAGGUUUACUCUCAGCUCUGGGGUGCUGUGUACCAUCAGUCUCCCAGCUGGGACAUGGAGCAGACCCAAACAGGUGACCUCAUGCAAAUACAUUACCCUGCACCCUUCAGGCUGCCCGGGACGUCCAGCGGAGGAUGGGGGCAGAGGUAGCUGAACGGCUGGUCUAACCUGGGCACCUGCAGUUCCUGACAGCCGCUCACACAGGCCAAACCCAGGGUGAAAACCCUGCGGACCCAAACCUUACCUCCCUGGGCAUCACUCUGGGGCUGCAGGCUACCGUCAGCUUACUACACCCAACCGUGAGCCUCAUAACAAACUCUGACAACCCGUUUGAGCUUUAGAACCCUGACUUUUAGAAUCCCAGGCUUUAGAACCCUGACCUUUAGAAUCCCGGGCUUUAGAACCCUGACUUUUAGAAUCCCAGGCUUUAGAACCCUGACUUUUAGAAUCCCGGGCUUUAGAACACUGAGUUUCUUUAGCAGUAUCUCUUGCAGAGGUGCUGAUGCCUGUGCACUGUGUCUGUGCUCCACAAAUGAGAGGUCUGCAUGCAGUCUGCUGGGAAACAGAGUUUCACACAUGACCCUCCCCAGGGUCAAAGGUCACCAAGCAAUUAGUGUGGCCUCCCACCACACUGUCAGACAAGGCGCGGUUUUAUUGAACUAAAUUAGAAUAACAUGACAGUGGACGACUGAGGGCAAUUAAAACUAAUGGGAAAUAAAGGACAUCACUGUGGAACAUAGUUUUUGGGAAGAAAUUAAUGGAUGGACACAGGCAAGUGUGACAAACACACAUUAUUUCACUUCCACAGAUUAUCUGCAUUGACUUCAAUCAAAGCUCUGCUGCAGAGAGAGCACUUACCACAUCUGACAAGACAGAUCACAGAUCCAAAUUAGGGUUUAGGAUAAAUGAAAAUGUUUUUUUUCUCCACCAAUCAUAAAUACAGUAUGCUCUGAUAUUGAUUUAUAUUGUUCAAACCUAAAUAAUCUCGUCAUAUCUUCAUAAAAAUAAGUCGCAGCAGCAAUCAUCCAUUCUGCUACUGAAUCACAGAUUUUAUAUGGCUCCAUAUAAAACAGUGGCACACCACGCAGCAAUGCACGCUGUGACAGUGGUUCAAAGCGGUUGCAGGUUUAACUCCCAGGUGUCAUGGUACCAUUGAGCAGGGUGCUUCACCUGAGUCACUUAAGUGAAAUAUCCAGGUGAAUAUUUGGCGGUACUUGGUAUGGUGAUUUUCACAUUGCCAUGGAUGAUAGUAUCUGUUAAUCAAAUAUUACACAAACACGAAGUGUUGAUUAAAUCACAUUGGGUUCAUGGACCAGGGUUUGCUGUGUUUGUGGUCAUCAAUACCGUCUCUCAAAAGUGCUGAAAGGAACCUGACAUCUAUUAAACUU